rnacentral:misc_RNA from 1 species
UUCCUGCUGUAAUCUCAAUCAGAGAAGCAUGUGGAGCCUCACGCCUAGAAUCACUUCAAGGAUGAUAAUGCUAAUUCAACAUUUUUUGAGAUCCGAUCGUGUAUUGGUUCCUCUAACAAUGGCACCUCAAAUUUUGAUUUAGUUAUCUUCUCGUACAGGAAAAUAUAUCUCCAAGCUAGCUCACAAACAAGUUCUUCAGGAGCAUCAGGAAGGACCUCAUCUUUGUAUGGAUCACAAUGAUCCUUGAACCACAGCCGCAAGAACUCCUUAUCAACAUUUUCAGGUUCAAGGCCAUCCUGAAUGCGUUCUUCAUAAGAAUGUGCAAUCCAGUAUCUGCUAGAGUCAGGUGUAUGCACCUCAUCAAUCAAUAAAAUUGAACCAUCAGAGCCCUUUCCAAAUUCAUAUUUUGUGUCUACUAAUAUCAAGCCAUGCUCCAAAGCCACACGCUGUCCAUACUCAAAUAAGCUCAAUGCUUUUCUACUGGCUUCAUCAUAAUCAGCUUGAGUCAUUAACCCCUGCUCAAUUAUCUCGCUAGGAGUUACAGGAACAUCAUGAUCUGUAGCCUUGGUUGUUGGAGUAAGUAUAUUUACAGUCAGCUUCUGGUUUUUUACCAAGCCAUCCGGAAGGGCGUUCCCACAGUAAUUUCGGAUACCACUUUUGUAGAUUGUCCAUAGCGAUGUAUCGGUACUUCCGGUCACAUACCCUCUAACAACAAAUUCAACAGGAAAAACUGAGCAUUUCUUUGCAAUCGCAACAUUUUUAUCAGGAGCAGACACAACUGCAUUCUGAGUUAUGUGUUGAGUUCUAUUGAACCACCACAGACUCGUCUCGUUUAGAACCUGGCCUUUAAAGGGAAUAGAAGCGAGAAUUCUAUCAAAUGCACUCUGCCGAUCAGUUGUGACCAAAACAAGAUAAUCCCCACCAUCAUAAAUAUCUCUCACCUUUCCUCUGGUCUUGGAUUUGAGACCGGGAACCGUCAAAUGAAGAUUUGUCUCCGAGAGACAAUUAGAUAAUGAGCCUUUAAUGGCGCCAAGGAGCUCCUCUUUGCCGCUAUUGUUGAUUAGAGCAUCAAGUGACAAUUUUUGUUUCUGGGUUUGAUUAUGUGCAGAAGUUACGGAUAUCCUCAGGUAUCUCUUUGAUUUUGGUUUGAAUUUUGGUUCAAAGGAAGAGAUUGAAGGUACAGUCGGAUUGGAUAAUGAGAGAUUAGUGUUGUUGAGAAGGGUUUUUGGAGGGUUUAAGGUUCUCAUGCACUGAGACAUCUUCGCUGUUUUGUCGAGGUCUGUGUC